GUACACGCUGUGACUAGCAUAUUAAUAAGCGGAGGAAAAGGAGUAUACCUACGCUUAGGAUGUUGAAGAUGUAGCACAUCAUACACACAUGACACACUGCAUAUCAAUAAGCGGAGGAAAAGAAACUAACAAGGGUUCCCCUAGUAACGGCGAGUGAAGCGGGAAGAGCUCAAAUUUGAAAUCUUAAAGGGUUUCCCUUUACGAAUUGUAGUUUAAAGAAGUGUUUUCUGUUGAGGUUUUGGUAAAAGUUCUUUGGAAUAGGACAUCAUAGAGGGUGAGAAUCCCGUAUUUGACCUUUACUUUCAACUUUGUGAUACACUUUCAAAGAGUCGGAUUGUUUGGGAAUGCAGUCCAAAAUGGGUGGUAAAUUUCAUCUAAAGCUAAAUAUUGGCGAGAGACCGAUAGCGAACAAGUACCGUGAGGGAAAGAUGAAAAGAACUUUGAAAAGAGAGUUAAACAGUACGUGAAAUUGUCAAAAGGGAAGCGUUUGACACCAGUGUUGUUUUUCUGAAAAUCAAUUAAAGAACUGUUUAUGCUAAGCUGUUUAGACUUUAUCAGCUAUCUGUUUAGUUUUGAGCUUUUCUUUAAUGCACUUUUCAGUUAACAAGUCAACAUCAAUUUCUUUUGCUAUAAAAAAGUUUGAGGAAGGUGGCUUGAGAUUCGUCUUAAGUGUUUAUAGCCUCUUGCCUAUGCAGUCGGAGAGAUUGAGGUCUGCAGCGUAGAUCCUUCGGGGCUAAAUGCAUUUGUGCUGAGUUAUAGCAUUUUAUAGACAACUUGUUGACUAUGAUUUGUCUUGUAGCUUACUCGCUUAUGUUAUUUUACCUACGCUUAGGAUGUUGACUGAUAUGUAGUCGUA
rnacentral:rRNA from 1 species